rnacentral:rRNA from 1 species
GAUGAACGCUGGCGGCGUGCUUAACACAUGCAAGUCGAACGAGAAGUGAAGACGGAAACCUUCGGGCGGAAGGCUUUAUUUCGAGUGGCGGACGGGUGAGUAACGCGUGGGUAACCUGCCUCAUACAGGGGGAUAACAGUUGGAAACGACUGUUAAUACCGCAUAAGACCACAGCACCGCAUGGUGCGGGGGUAAAAACUCCGGUGGUAUGAGAUGGACCCGCGUUCGAUUAGCCAGUUGGCGGGGUAACGGCCCACCAAAGCGACGAUCGAUAGCCGAUCUGAGAGGAUGACCGGCCACAUUGGGACUGAGACACGGCCCAAACUCCUACGGGAGGCAGCAGUGGGGAAUAUUGCACAAUGGGGGAAACCCUGAUGCAGCGACGCCGCGUGAGUGAAGAAGUAUUUCGGUAUGUAAAGCUCUAUCAGCAGGGAAGAAAAUGACGGUACCUGAGUAAGAAGCCCCGGCUAACUACAU